rnacentral:tRNA from 1 species
UCAGGAAUUGGCUCAGUUUGGCAGAGCAUCAGAUUUUUAAUCUGAAGGUCGUAGGUUCAAAUCCUGCAUUCCUGGU